GCUCCAGUGGCGCAACCGGUUAGCGCGCGGUACUUAUAGAGCAGUAUGUGUGCGGGUGAUGCCGAGGUUGUGAGUUCGAGCCUCACCUGGAGCA
rnacentral:tRNA from 2 species